ensembl:lncRNA
AAAUAGAAAUGCCGGGAUCUCUCCUUUCAAGUUUUCCACACAUGUUAAUUUCCUUUUGCUGAAAGGAAAAAUACUUGAUUCUAAUUUAUUUGUAGGCCUGAAAUGAGAUUUUUCCUCAAUUGGAAGAUGUGACGUGCCGUGUACUCUAAAUGAGAGAAGGGUUGGGAAAAUGUAAGCAGGAAACUUUAACUGCAGAAGUAAAAGGAAUUACUUAAGCGAAAGCCAAUCUGAAAAGGCUGCAUACUGUAUGAUUCCCACUAUAUGACAGUCUGGAAAAGGCGAGACUAUGGAGAAGGGGGAAAAAAAGUCAGCAGCUGCCAGAUGUUGUGGGAAUGGGGGAUGAAUAGGUGGAGCAAAGUGGAUUUUUAGGGCAGUGAAAAUCCUCCUUGUGACACUAUCAUGGUGGAUGUGUGGCGUUAUGCAUUAGUUCAAAUCCACAGAAUGUACAAGAGUGAACCCUCAUGUCAGCUGCGGCUCCUGGGUGAUAAGAUUCCCAUGCUAGGAGGAUGCUGUCGGGAAUAUGGGGAAUCUCUGCGCCUUCCUCUCUAUUUUGCUGUGAACCUAAAACUGCUCUAAAAAAAAAAAAAAAAGUCUAUUUAAAAAAAUAAAAAAGCAAAAUGAAAAUGCAAGCUUGGUUUUGAGGGCAUAUUAUUUAGAACUCUGCUGCGUGCAAGUAACAGAAGUUUUUAGCUCACUGAGUCUCAGAAGGACGUUAUAGGUCAUAGGUGCCUCGGGAACCAUGAUUACAGCUGCUGGGAGGAGGCUGCAGUGAGGUGGAAGGCAGAAUCCCGGUGGCCUCUCUCUCCCCAGCUCCCCUGUUUACACAGGAUCCUCUCCCGCUUUCCAUAGACACUGUUUGCCCUUUCUCUACCCCAAUCCUAAAUUCCUGGGCCAGGGGACGCUGGUGGCGCAGUGCUUGGGGCAGCUCCCAGCCCCAGCAACUCUGGUCACGGGGGUGGAGGUGCGGGUAUGGUUCCAUGGAAGUUGCCAGCAGAAAUCUCAAGGAAGUGAAUGGUGUGUCUUGGGUCAGCAAAAAUCCCAUGAUGGUACCAGAACCUCCCUACCAAGGAGGAUGUUCUCAUAGAUUCCCAGAGACAAGAUGAUGGUAAUCUUAAAAUACUCGACAGAUGAAAGAGGAAGCAAAACCACUCCUUCUGUCUGAGAGAAUUGUGCAAUGAUGGCCAAAAGCAGUCCUCUGCAAUUUCUUUGGGAGGUGACAAAGGAACAGAAGGCACUGGGGGAACCAAUGGGCAAAUUAGUUUAAUUAGUCAAAUUAACUUAAUUAGCAAAAAUAAUUCUCUUUGGAGCAGGCUUUGAAUAAAUCUGUGAUAAUUUUGUGAUUCUGUGAAUUUUCUGGAAUAUGUGUAUGUGUGCAUGUUGGGUGCAUGCUCAUGUGCAAUCAUUCGUGUGCAUGUGUGUGCCUGAAUGCAUGGGGGUGGACCCAGGUUUUGUGGUCCCUGAAGAUUAUACAAUUUUGAAUCACCCUUUAAAAAAAGGAACUCAGGCCGGGUGCAGUGGUUCAUGCCUGUAAUCCCAGCACUUUGGGAGGCUGAGGCAGGAGGAUUGCUUGACCCCAGGAGUUCAAGACCAGCCUGGGCAAAAUAGCGAGAUUUCAUCUCUAUUUAAAAGAAAAAAAAUUUUUAACAAAAAUGUUUUUAAAACCACAAAACGUGAAUCCAAAAUUAGGUAGGAGAGGGAGGCCUAUUUAGGUUUAGGAAGAAAACACAAUUCACAAUAUUUUCUUCUUUUUUUUUUUUUUUUUUUUUGAGACAGAGUUUCGCUCUUGUUACCCAGGCUGGAGUGCAAUGGCGCGAUCUCGGCUCAUCGCAACCUCCGCCUCCUGGGUUCAGGCAAUUCUCCAGCCUCAGCCUCCCGAGUAGCUGGGAUUACAGGCGCGCACCACCAUGCCCAGCUAAUUUUUUGUAUUUUUAGUAGAGACGGGGUUUCACCUUGUUGACCAGGAUGGUCUCGAUCUCUUGACCUCGUGAUCCACCCGCCUUGGCCUCCCAAAGUGCUGGGAUUAUAGGCGUGAGCCACCGCACCCGGCCCACAAUAUUUUCAAAGCUGAAGAAUAUCUCCAAUUUCAUGUAAUUCAGGAAACUAACAAAGUUGUGUUUAACUGCUUAACAAACCUCGAUGGCACUUCUUCCUCCUAUAACUUUUGGCUGCAUACUCUUGGAUCAUCUUUUUUUUUCUUUUUUCUCUCCCCCUGCCCCCUCCACCUUUUAAUAUGGCCACAAUUUUAUAAUAUUUUCUAGGGAGAGGAUAGAAAGAUAGUUCAGUUUUUACACUUCAUCUUAGCCAAAAGGCCGAGAAGUAAUG